ACAUGGUAGUCAGAAACACAUU
rnacentral:siRNA from 1 species